CCCCUCUCAGGGUCGCGCCUGGAGAGUUUCCAGUCCUCUACCAGUCUCGGCUAUGGGAGGGAGAGUCAAGCAGAGGGCUACCCAUUCCAUUCCUGGCUUGGCCAGUGGCUAAUGAGAGGAAGGCAAUCUGCAACAAGU
rnacentral:snoRNA from 1 species